UUCCUUUCCUUAGCCAACCGCGGUCGGCGGUCCGGAGGGGGUGGCGGAGACGGGGCCGAUGUUUUCCGCGGGGUCCGCGCGGGAGAGGAGGGGCGCGAGGCCAGGGAAGGAGAGAAGGCUUGAGAGAGCAAGCGCUGCCCGGCGCGGGGGUGAGAGCGGAGGAGCGCUAACGCGCUGACAAAGGAGGAGAGGGGCAAAGAGAGCAGGGAGUUAGAGCUAAGCGAAGCUUAGCGCAGACUAAACUCAAGCAACUGAGCGGCAGCGGCAACGGAACGGCACAAGCGUCCCAUACGCUCAGGCCGGGCCGGAGGAGGCGGAGGCACGCUCGAGCCCUUCGCUAGCUAGCUGGCUCCUUAAGUAGGCAAACCCUGGAGGUAGACCAAACGCCUAGGAGGAGUCUUAGACAAAACACACGAACGUUGACACCUAGGGCACAAGGAGCAGCACAAGCGCAGGGGCGCGCAACCAACGUACGUCCUAGCAGCUCGGUCCAAAAACCUUAACCUCGAGACUAUACCUCGGCCUCCGGCUCCGUUCCAGUCAAAGGGCACGCUCAAGUCUAGCGAAGGAGACGCAAGCAGGCUCUACGGUCUAAAGUUAGUUUACCUAUGUACCGGGCACACUAGGACAGCAACGGGCUCGCGACACCAAAUAAAUAAGGGAUAGCAGGCAAUCAAGUUCCACAUAGGUAAGCUCCGGAAGUUAAGCACCUUCUAAGAGAAUAUAACACGGCCGACUAGAGCCAAAACCAUACAGAACACGAGAGUGGGAUCUACGUCUCCUUCGGUCUCCCGCGCGAUCAAGACGCCUCUACCUCCAAACUAAAUAAAAGUACCAAUAAAACUAAGCAGCCAAUUCCAAGUCGCCAAUAAGACUUAAAGACUAACAAAUUCCAAUCCCAAGUCGCCAAUAACAGGACUAUACCGGUCUAGAAGAGCAUAGUACUUCGGACACUAGAGAAUGGUCGGACUUGGACGCUAGACGCAAACCUAUUAUAUUUACCUAGGGAGGGUUAAAAUCAGUCAUCAAUUGCCGUACGUUAAGACUAGACUUAAGAAACGAACAGGUCUUUAAUAUUUAACCUAAUGUGCGGUAUCGCCCUCGUUGUAGACGCAAACCUACUAAUUAAUGGGGGAGAUAAAUUAAGGAAGUAGACGUGUCAAGUUAGAGUCAGCCAAGACUAAAUCCAAACAACUACCAACAGGUCUUUAACCCUAAUAUACCGAAUGGCCCUCGCUGAACAGUAAGAAGGAGUGGACACAAACCUACUAGUAAGAGAGAAACAAAUAAAGGAAAAGAAGUGUCAAGUUAAUGAGGGGUAUGUUAAGACUAAACCUAGACAACGAGCAUGAGGUCUUUUAACCUAAUAUACCGAAUUGCCCACCAGGAUAAAAGGGAGCCGUACAGCCAAGAAAAAGACACCGAGUUGUUAAAAAGAAUGAGUAGUCAUUAUAUCAAUAAUUUCGUGUGGUCUGUUCAAGAGAUACGGAAUCAAAUAGCAAACAGUAAACAAUCGAUAACGUCUGUGGCAGAACCUUGCCUAUAUCAACCUUGGCCACGAUAGAUGGACUGGAAGGGUCUGCUUGAAAGAAUAUUGAAGAUGGAGGAGGAGUAAACUUCGUACGAAAUCGACUCGGAUCAAAGGGGGAUUAAAUGUCUUUUCAUAGAAGGAGCAACGUCCAAACUCCUUACGUUUCAGGUUGGACUACGACUCAACUUAGACAAACGUCAAAAAAAGAUUAAGACUAGAGAUUAGUUAAGUAGUAAUGAAUCUAUUGGAAAUUCUAGAAGAGUGAUCCGUUAUAAAAUUUAAGUCUAAAUAGACCCUUCCACGUUCUUACCUCGAAGUUUGAACCGUUUAGGAUGUUAUUUUUUCUCUGAGGAGGUAAAAAUUGAAGCGGAGAAUAAAAAUAUAGUGCAUCGAUGAACAAGUACGGAAACUAAAUCCGAAAAAACGAAGAGGGGGGGAACACUAACGUCUAAAUAAAAUCGGGUCUCGCACGACCAUCGUUAAGUUUUAGACAAUUUUAGUAAACCAAACGUUAGAUAGAGAUAUACCCAGCUAAACAAGAGACAUGAGAAUAGGACAUCCUUCAAACCCGGAUACCCGUUUAGAGACAUGUUACUUAGUCCAGUCACAACAUAGUUGCCAAACAAACCAAAUCAACAAACGGAGGGAGGUGUGUAACCAACGUCCUGACCUAGACCUUACACCUCUAGGGACACCACAACAUACAGCUUCCCCUAACUCCGUCCAGUCUAAACUUAGCACGCCAGCACACCAAGAGUAGUACACAAGGUAGUAGUAGUCGAUUAUACUCCACCUAAACUCCAGGACCGCCUGAGAAUAACAUCGUUGACUAGCAAACCACACACAAACACGAGAAAACGAACGUCGUCCUCCCAUCAUCAAGACGUAUCUACUUAGUAUCCCACCUCUAAACCAGAGACAAGUAGUAAAACUAACUAACCUAAUAGUUCGAAACCUAGAGAAUGGUUGGACUUGAAGACUAGACGCAAACCUAUUAUUUAAGGCGGGGCCAAGUUAAAUAAACCAAACGUUUUAUGUUAAAUCAGGAACCGUCAAGACUAGAUAUAAACACCAAAAGGUCUCUACCCCAAUUAACCACCUAUAAACCAAAGACAAGUAGUGAAACUGACUAACCUAACCUUGGACCACGAACGCCAGACGCAAACCAAUUACUUAAGACAGGUCUAAGUUAAAUAAACCAAACGUGUCAUGUUAAUCAGGAACCGUCAAAACUAGACAUAAACAAUAAACAAACACCAAAAGGUUUUUAACCCGAAAUCGUCCUCGUUGGAUAGAAGAACAACUAGACAUUAACCUACUAAUACUUGGGGAGAUAAAUUAGGUGUUAAGUUAAAAUCAGGGACUGUUAAGACUAAACCUAGACAAUUACCAACAGGUCUUUAACCCUAAUACCGAAUCGCCCUCACUGGAUAGAAGAACGACUGGACACAAACCUACUAGUAAUGAGAGACGAAUUAAAGAAGAGGUGUCGAGUUAAUCAAUAGGCUGUUAAGACUAAAUCUAAACAACGACCAAGAGGUCUUUAACUUGUAUAUGCCGAAUCGCCCACUAGGAUACAAAGGAGCCGUACCGCCAAGAAGGACACCGGGUUUGUAUAGACUGGAAAACAGGAGGGAACUAAUAACUUAAAGGAUCUGUAAUGAAAGAAACGGAAUCAACCAUUAAGAAUCCAGGACGUCUACGACCGGACCUUCGCUUUAUUAACCUUGGUCACAACAGGUCUUUAACCCUAAUACCGAAUCGCCCUCACUGGAUAGAAGAACGACUGGACAGAAACCUACUAGUAAUGAGAGACGAAUUAAAGAAGAGGUGUCGAGUUAAUCAAUAGGCUGUUAAGACUAAAUCUAAACAACGACCAAGAGGUCUUUAACCUGUAUAUGCCGAAUCGCCCACUAGGAUACAAAGGAGUCGUACCGCCAAGAAGGACACCGGGUCGGAUCAAAAGGACAAUUGAAUAUCUUUCCAUAGAAGGAGCAACGUCCAACAUCAACUACUUGAGUUCAGGUUGGACCACGACUCAACUUAGACAAACGUCAAGAAGAUUUAGAUGAUAAAAGAGUUCAGUAGUAUUGAAUCUGUUGGAAAUCUUAAUAGAAUGGUCCUUUAUAAAACUUAUGUCUAGACGUUUCCAAGUUGUUACCUCUAAGUUUGAUUACCUUGUAGGAUGUUACUUUUCUGAUAAAAAUUGGGUGGAGAAUAUAAAACAAAGUGCAUCGAUGAACAAAUACGGAAAUUAAAUCCAAAAAGAAAGAUGGGAGGGAAACCAACGUCUAAUUCGGGUUUGGUACGACCAUCACUUAGCCUUAGAGACAAUUUUAGCAAACCAAACGUUAGAGAGAGAGAGAGACCUAGCUAAACAACAAACAUGAGAACUAGGGGCACGACCGGAAGACGCACAUAGUCAACGUCCUAUAUAAAUCCCUCAGACCCGGAUACACGUCCUAUAUAAACCUAUACAACCACCAAGAGGUCUUUAACCUUAAUAUACCGAAUCGCCCUCGCUGCGUAGAACGACGAGAUACAAACCUAUUAAUAGUGAGAGACAAAAUGAGAAAGCAGAGGUGACAAGACAAAACCAAAGGGUGUUAAGAUUAAAUAUGAUAAAGAACCACCGAGAGGUCUUUAACCUUAUUAUACCUAAUCUUCCGCCAGGAUAAAACGGAGCCGUACCGUCAAGGAAGAUACUGAUUUUUGGAAAAGUUGGAAAAAAUGAGAUAUUAACUUGAGAGAUCUGUAAUCCAAAAGAAACGGAAUCAUGAAUAGUCGAGAACGUCUAUGACUGAACCUUUCCUAUAUUGACGUCAAACCUUGGCCGCAACAACAGGAGGUAGUAGGUAUGGACUGGGAUCUGUCCGAAAUGAACAAGGGUGAGUUAGUAGGUACGAAAUCGAUAAAUAUUCGUCGUAAAGGGGAUUGUUAAAAAAAUAUCUUUGCCAGAGAACGAGCGACGUCCAACAUCAACUGUUUGAGGACAGGUCGGACUACUACUUAGGUAGAUGACUAGAAGCUUCAGAUGUCACAGCAAAGUUAAGUAACGUUGAAUGUAUUAGAUAUUUAAUAGAAUGAUCUGUUAUAAAAUUUAUGUCUAAGUAUACGUCGUGCUUAUAUAUCCUACUAGGUCUCUAAAGUUGAUUACCAAGUAGGAUGUUGGCUUUUUCUGAUAUUGGAAGGAAAAAAAUUUAAAGUAAAUCAAUGAACCGGUAGAGAGACUAUAUCCAAAAACGGGGACGGGAAGGAUACCAACGUCUAAAAAGAAAUCGGGUCCGGUACACCCGCUACUGAUUGAGAACUAGGGACACAAAAUAACCAGAAGACGCACACACCUCAACCGUUAUAUAUUAAAAAUAAUCCUCAAACCCGGGUUUGGAAACGAGACAUGUACGUCAGUCCAGUCACAGAGCAUCUGCCAGACAAACAAAGUACACAAUAGCGGCGGAGAUGUUAAACCGAACGUCCUGACCUAGAACUAGACCAGACCUUCAUUUAGAGGUACACCCAACACUUGCAUACCACUUCCCCUGAGCUCCGUCCGGUCAAAGGGUACAAAGCAGUGUAAUCAAAUGACCUAAGGAGUAGACACGAACCACUACAGUCUAAACUCACCGUGUAAUUCAAGAAGCUAAAUACAAGCAGACUACCGACAAACCCUAGAAGCAAACCUUAGAAGACGUUGGUGUUUUUGAAUGUGAACCUGAGGUACGGACAAAGUUGACUAAAUGAUCUAAAGUGAUACCAGACUGAAAGGAACUUCUUUGAAAUUCAUACGACUAAUAUAAACCCGGCAAGUAACUAAACGUAACAACCUCCAAAAUAACGUUCUGACAUCUCAACCUAUCAGUCAAUCGCGCCCCUGAACCACUUCGUUUACCUGAAAGGACUACCAAAACUGGAGACUAAUGACUAGGACUUCGUAUUACUAAACCAGAAACACUACAAAAAGUCAAACUUGAACGUAAGUCACCGGAGUAUAGAAACCACGUCGAACCUCAACCAUCACACGUGUAGACUACUAAGAAAGUUGACAGGAUUUCGUAGAAUGGACCAAAGACAACACGGUAGGACGACCAAUGCCAGAGAAUAAGUUGAACGUACACCAAACCUACCUUAUACUAGAAUAGAAAAUGAGCUUAGUUCUUUUACGAUCUUCAGAGUUUGUUCCCAGGUUUUACCUUUAUAGUCAAGGAUGAGUCAAACAUAUCGUCUAAUAGCUUCAAACUGAACCGAUAAUUAAUGGACCAAUGGUAUGACAAAGUACUUCAAACCAAAACCAUAAACCGACGAACAUAGAAAGUUGAACGUUUAAAUAGUGGGUUAUCCUUCAUUUCUAGUAUACAUGUACUCGAGACUUACGUCAUUUUUACAAUUUAGUAUAAUAUACUUAUAUACACUUAACCAGUAUGAACCUAAAUAGUCAGAUGAUAAGAUGUAUGAGAACAGGUACUAACAUGAACCAAACAAAUAUAUGCAAGAAAUCCAAGUAGAAUACUGUGUUUAGUUUAAAAUCACACGUGUAUUAAAAAUUGACUUUCUAGGGUGGGAGCGUAAACACAACCAAAUUGUCAUCACCGGAGGACAUCAAACCAUUAUAACUACUGAAACUAUAAACCUAUAAUUUCUACAAUCCUCAUAUUUUGUUACCUCUCAACUUCCAAGACUUGAUCUUCGAACUUGUUUAUAAAACGGGACUUGUGAGGAGUACAGGUGACUUAUACUAAGACCAAACAACUAUACCUCAACUAAAAGUCUUCACUACAAUAAGUGUAACCACGAAGAGAACACUCUAGACCUAAGAAGUUACGUAGAAGAGCCAAACGACCCCUUGAAGGAUGCAAUUUAACUGUUGAUUGUUUUUUUAGACCGAUUAAACUGCUAAGUAUUUGUGAGACCGUUUAAACUACUACUUAGGGCGACUAAUGAAAGUUGUAUGUCGUCAAACAAAAGUAUGGAGUAAGCAGGACCUAAAUUUCUGUGUAGAGAUGCCAGAAGGUUACCGAGUAAACUAGAGAAAUGUCGUUUGACGAUUAAACUAGAACUAAUACCUUAGAUGGUAAUGUAUAAGAAUAAUUUAUAUAUUAUUAAAGUAUCGCAAAUGUGUAGACUGUCAGGAGAUUACCGAUUAAACUGGAAGAAAAGCCGGCUUGACGAUUAAACUAUACCUAAUACCUUAGAAGUUAAUGCAUUUAGAUAUUAAAGUAUCGUAAGUGUAGACCGACAGGAGAUUACCGAUUAACUGGAAGAAAAGACUGCUUGACGAUUAAACUAGACCUAAGACUUAGAACUUGGUGUAUAAGAGAAAUUAAUGUAUAAGCAUCAAAAGACCUUUAAAGGAUCAAAAUUAUAUCAACCGUUGAUCGUUUUCAUGAUUAAACUACUAAGGACAACUAACGAAUCUGUUUGG
rnacentral:rRNA from 1 species